GUGAACCGGAAGUAAAACAGACACGACAAUGGAGGAGCAUAUGGGAGCAUAAUAUGAAUGUGGGACUGAUCAUGGAAGACGAUUUGGAGCGGUUCUUAGUUUGUAGAGAGGUUCCAAGAGAGGACAUAACACGAAUGAAGAGAGACAAGGUUGACAAGGCAGUGUUGCGCAUCAUGACUGAUGAGCAAAUGACAAAAUACAUAACGUCAUAUGGUGACCGAGUAGCUGUCCUAUCUUUCUGUGAACAAACACAGUGCCAUAGCACCAAUAAAGACACUCUUUUACAGAGAUUAAAAGCUAAAAUAGGGACACGCAAAAUAAAAUCAAAGACAAAAGGAUCACUGAAUGGUACCCCAGAUGAACCCCAAAAUACCAUGGCCAGACAAAGAAAUUCGGCAGGAGAGAAGACUUCAAGGAAGGUUGAAAUUGGGUGGCUUAAUUUUGGCAGUAACGGGUACAGUCAAGUACGGACCAACAGUGGUGGAGGUACAAGACAUGUUACACUGGCAAAAACAACAACUGUUGCUCAGAUCAUGGAAUUAGGAAAGGACCUAUUUUUUCCUGAUGGGCAGUCCACAAAAGGACCAGCUGAUGACUUCACGAUUGACAUUUGUGAUUUUAAAAUGAACAAAAUUCCCUUAGAUAGCACUGUUGGCCACAUGUAUGAACAAACUAAACUGAAGCUACUCAGAUUUUACAUUUGUACAAAAGAGGGAGCUUCAACAGAUCACUCCUCAUCUGAGAAAAAUGAGCUGCUUGAAGAUGGAUCUCACUCAGAUGAUUCCAUCACAGAACUGCAGGAUCAUUCACAUUCAUCUGACACUGAUGGAAGCACCCAGAUACAACCAAGAUCAAAAAGGAUAAGGGCAAUAUCUGAGAGUGAGAUGGCACAAAGUCCAGAUCCAUCACAUCCCUUUCAGUCAACCCCAACAGACAUUAAAUAUAGUGACAUUGGGCAAAGGCAAAACACAAGUGAGGUUAGUUUACCGGACCCCUUGUUUGACGAGGCAGAUACACUUCUAUGGGAUCCCGACGAUGACGUGGUGGUUAUGCAAUUUAAUCAUGCUGAGGAAGAUGAGGACGUCUCACAGGGCGCUGAGGUGAGUGAAACACCUACGCAGGUUAUACAGCUUCUAUUGCCUUCAGCUGAUGGCCUACCUAC
rnacentral:lncRNA from 1 species